UAACGAGAUCCGAGGCCUCGGGGGAGAGGUUUCCCCCUAAGCACGCCUUGCUGCCAGCACCCCCACCUCCAGCCUUGUGACUGCCCAGUUUCUGCCCCCCAUUUGGGGUUUUACCCCAUUUCUGGUCAUUUUUGCAGGAGGAGAAGGGCCCCGGCAGCAGGGGCUUUCGGUGGCCACGGAAGGCAUUGCCUUGGGCAGAUGAGGCCGAUGUAGUUUCCCUCCGGGGAACUGUAGGGUUAAAAGGAAAAGAAAAGGCUCUAACCAGACAAAAAUAGGGAGAAAUCUUUGAGAGGAGAGAGAGGAGGAGCGGGGAGAGGGAGAGAAGAAAGGAGGUGGAAGUGGAGGAGGACAGCAAGUGGCUGAGUGAGGAAGAGGAGGGGGAGGAGGAGAAAGGUCUAAUGGCUUUUCCAUUAAUUGCACCAUUACCCGCUUCCAUCCCCACCUUCGCGUCCCCGCAUCCAGCCGCGGUGGCAGGGGCCCCGUUCCCACUCGUGGCCGGGACACGGGGCUGGGGACAGGGUCCCCGAGGGCAGCGUGAUGGGGACAGGGAGCACUGCUCGCCCCAAUGCCUGCGUACCCGUGUGGGUUUGUCCCCAAGGGCAGGGAUGGACACCGAUGCAGAAGGCAGCCCCCUGUGCCCCCCAUCCCAGCAAAGCCCCCCGUGGUGUGCAGGGUUUGUGGGGUUUGUGCAGCCCGGCACAGACAGGGCUCUCCAGGAAGGGUUUCUCCCUUGCCGGCCUCCUCUCUGUUUGUUUUUUUUUUUUUUUCCCUUUUUAUCAGCAUUUUUCCCUCUUUGAAGGAGAGGAGGAGCUGGGUUUCUCAGUGCCGAGCAUGUUCUGCGUUGCGACUGAAAUUCUCCCACCCGGGACCCGCCGUGUGCCGAGCCCCGUCCCUGGGCACAGCGCGAGGCUGAGCCACGGCUUCGGAUCUCAACUUUAAAAAAAGAGAGGGAGAGAACCCAGACCUAAAACUCUGGCUAGACUGACUGAGUGAAACCGGCACCGGCCCAGAUCAGAAACUGGAAACGAGACAAGACAAGGCGAAUGUUUUUCAUGGAGAUAUUAGUAAAACUGAAGGGAGAACAAAUCGAACACGUUUUCAUGGAAAUUUCCAUUUUUGACAAAAAAAAUAAAAAAAUAAAAGAAGGACUAAACUUGGAUGCGUUUACAUAAAUAUGGAAAUGAAAACCGUUCCUCGCACCUCGCCGCCGCCCCAUGGCCAGCCCCACUCCCUCUGCCUGCUCCCCCUGUCCCCGCAGCCCCGUGCCAGGACCCCGGGGGGACCUCAGCCCCUGCGUGCUGAGCACUGAGCACCCUCCUCCUGCAAGGCACCGGUUUAUAUUUGGCAACCACUUGCCAGGAGGCUUUGCCAAAUGGCAGCUGGCGCUGCAGCCACGCUGCCGAUGGGCACGAGGUUGGUGAUGUCCCGGCGGAGCACCUUGCUAAGCGAGCUGGGGAUGGAGAUGGGGCAUCGUGGGGCUGGUGGAGGAGCUGAGCCCCCUGUGAAGCCCGUCCCUUGUCCUGCUGCAGGGGAUGUGCCCACGGAGCCAGCAACACAGUGACAGGGAUGCAAGGAGCAGUUGGGACGGGCGCACUGACAGCCAGGCUCUGGCUUUGCAAACUCCAUCCCAUCCCUGCAAGGAGAGGGCCUCCUGUAUUAUGCCUUGCUGUCAGCUUUUUUUUUUUUUCUUUGUUUCUAUAGAAAAUCCCAAUUCCCCCAAAUAAUCCAGCUAAGAGUAAAAAAAAAAAAAAAAAAAAA